AUGGCCCGAACUGCCACACGCACGCAGCAGCCCACCAACUCAGCCCACGUACGAAAAAUCACCAACUCAGCACCCGCAAACAAAAAGAAUACACCAACUCAGCCCACGUACGAGAUCCACGGUUCUACACACGAACGACAAGUCCGUGGAACCCCACGAUCGCGCCCAGUCAAUAAAAAAACAGCUCCGCAACCCAUGAACGAGGACGAGGUCCAACAAACGCCAGUUCUUCCUGGCGUACGAGCUCCAUCGAGACGCCAGUUCUUCCUGGCGUACGAGCUCCAUCCACACGCGAGCGCACGCCGCCAAAACAGAAACGCGACCUGUGGGAGCUGCAGCCUCUGCUGA
rnacentral:rRNA from 1 species